rnacentral:rRNA from 1 species
UUCCUACGGGGGUGCAGCAGUKGGGAAUMYKGCASAAKGGGCGCAAGCCUGAAUGCAGCCAUGCCGCGUGUAUGAAGAAGGCCUUCGGGUUGUAAAGUACUUUCAGCGGGGAGGAAGGCGAUGUGGUUAAUAACCGCAUCGAUUGACGUUACCCGCAGAAGAAGCACCGGCUAACUCCGUGCCAGCAGCCGCGGUAAUACGGAGGGUGCAAGCGUUAAUCGGAAUUACUGGGCGUAAAGCGCACGCAGGCGGUCUGUCAAGUCGGAUGUGAAAUCCCCGGGCUUAACCUGGGAACUGCAUUCGAAACUGGCAGGCUAGAGUCUUGUAGAGGGGGGUAGAAUUCCAGGUGUAGCGGUGAAAUGCGUAGAGAUCUGGAGGAAUACCGGUGGCGAAGGCGGCCCCCUGGACAAAGACUGACGCCUUCAGGUGCGAAAGCCGCCUKKGGAGCAAACAGGAUUAGAUACCCGGGUAGUCAG